AACUGGACAAUCGUGGGUUUGUGUAGUGAUAUGAGAUGAGUAAAUUAAU
rnacentral:guide_RNA from 1 species